rnacentral:tRNA from 1 species
GUAGGUACAGCUCAGUGGUAGAGUUGAUGCUUUCCAUGCACGAGGUCUUGGGUUCAAUCCCCAGUACCUUCU